UAAACUAGGAUUAGAUACCCUAUUAUUAUAAAUGUUUAUUUUUAUAUUAAAUUAUUAAUAGUUAUGUUCUUUAAAAUUAAAAAAUUUGGCGGUAUUUUAGUCUUUUCAGAGGAACCUGUCCUGUAAUUGAUAGUCCACGAUUAGGGAUACUUUAUUUAUUAAUUUACAUAUCGUCGUAGUUUGAAUAUUUUAUUAGAAUUAUAAUAUUCAAGAUUUUAUUUUAGAAAAUAUAUCAGAUCAAGGUGUAGUUUAUAAUAAAGAAGAGGUGGGUUACAAUAAAUUUAUUUUUGAAUAAAUUUUUUGAAAAAAUUUUGAAUUUGGAUUUGAAAGUAAUUUUUUGAGUUUUACUAAAAAUGAUUAUAGCUCUAAAAUAUGUACACAUCGCCCGUCGCUCUUAA
rnacentral:rRNA from 2 species